CCUACGGGAGGCAGCAGUGGGGAAUAUUGCACAAUGGGCGCAAGCCUGAUGCAGCCAUGCCGCGUGUGUGAAGAAGGCCUUCGGGUUGUAAAGCACUUUCAGCGGGGAGGAAGGCGUUAAGGUUAAUAACCUUGGCGAUUGACGUUACCCGCAGAAGAAGCACCGGCUAACUCCGUGCCAGCAGCCGCGGUAAUACGGAGGGUGCAAGCGUUAAUCGGAAUUACUGGGCGUAAAGCGCACGCAGGCGGUCUGUCAAGUCGGAUGUGAAAUCCCCGGGCUCAACCUGGGAGCUGCAUUCGAAACUGGCAGGCUAGAGUCUUGUAGAGGGGGGUAGAAUUCCAGGUGUAGCGGUGAAAUGCGUAGAGAUCUGGAGGAAUACUGGUGGCGAAGGCGGCCCCCUGGACAAAGACUGACGCUCAGGUGCGAAAGCGUGGGGAGCAAACAGGAUUAGAUACCCUUGUAGUC
rnacentral:rRNA from 1 species